rnacentral:rRNA from 1 species
AAUCAACGCUGGCGGCGUGCCUAACACAUGCAAGUCGAACGCGAAAGCCCCGCAAGGGGUUAGUAGAGUGGCAAACGGGUGAGUAACACGUGGGUGACCUGCCUCGAAGUGGGGGAUAAC